CAAGAGAACAUCUCAAAGGCUCUGGUUUUGGCUUUGAAUUUUCUGUUAAGGAUGUUUAACAUGACGAUAGCAGCUCAAAGGUCUGGUAUGAAGGACAGGAACAAGGUAGCUGUUGUUCUUACAGCCCUGAAACAUGUAUCUGAUGACAUGAAGACUCACAAGAACCCUGCCCUGAAGGCUCAGAGUGGUCCAGUACGCAGUGGCCCCAAACCAUUCUCUGCACCUAAACCCCAAACCAGCCCAUCCCCCAAACGAGCCACAAAGAAGGAGCCAGCUGUACUUGAACUGGAGGGCAAGAAGUGGAGAGUGGAAAAUCAGGAAAAUGUUUCCAACCUGGUGAUUGAGGACACAGAGCUGAAACAGGUGGCUUACAUAUACAAGUGUGUCAACACGACAUUGCAAAUCAAGGGCAAAAUUAACUCCAUUACAGUAGAUAACUGUAAGAAACUUGGCCUGGUAUUCGAUGACGUGGUGGGCAUUGUGGAGAUAAUCAACAGUAAGGAUGUCAAAGUUCAGGUAAUGGGUAAAGUGCCAACCAUAUCCAUCAACAAAACAGAUGGCUGCCAUGCUUACCUGAGCAAGAAUUCCCUGGAUUGUGAAAUAGUCAGUGCCAAAUCUUCCGAGAUGAACGUCCUCAUUCCUACAGAAGGCGGUGACUUUAAUGAAUUCCCAGUUCCUGAGCAGUUCAAGACCCUAUGGAACGGGCAGAAGUUGGUCACCACAGUGACAGAAAUUGCUGGAUAAGCGAAGUGCCACUGGGUUCUUUGCCCUCCCUUCACACCAUGGGAUAAAUCUGUAUCAAGACGGUUCUUUUCUAGAUUUCCUCUACCUUUCUGCUCUUAAAACUGCUUCUCUG
rnacentral:sRNA from 1 species